rnacentral:rRNA from 1 species
AACGUAGGUGGCGAGCGUUAUCCGGAUUUACUGGGCGUAAAGCGUGUGCAGGCGGGGUAUCAAGUGGUGUAUGAAAUCGCUCGGCUUAACCGGGCGCGGUUAUGCCAGACUGAUACUCUGGAGUGCGGGAGAGGGGCGUGGAAUUCCGGGUGUAGUGGUGAAAUGCGUAGAGAUCCGGAGGAACCCCAGUGGCGAAGGCGGCUACCUGGCCCACUCUUGACGCUGAGGCGCGAAAGCUAGGGGAGCAAACGGG